UACGUAGGGUGCGAGCGUUGUCCGGAAUUAUUGGGCGUAAAGAGCUCGUAGGCGGUGUGUCACGUCGGCCGUGAAAACCUGCAGCUUAACUGUGGGCGUGCGGUCGAUACGGGCAUCACUGGAGUUCGGCAGGGGAGACUGGAAUUCCUGGUGUAGCGGUGAAAUGCGCAGAUAUCAGGAGGAACACCGGUGGCGAAGGCGGGUCUCUGGGCCGAUACUGACGUGGAGGAGCGAAAGCGUGGGGAGCAAACAGG
rnacentral:rRNA from 1 species